rnacentral:tRNA from 1 species
ACUUAAAUAGCUUAUAUAUAUUAGAGUUUAAUAUUGAAGAUAUUAAGGAGAUUAAAUAAAUCUUUAAGUA